GAUGAACGCUGGCGGCGUGCCUAAUACAUGCGAGUCGAGCGAACAGACGAGGAGCUUGCUCCUCUGACGUUAGCGGCGGACGGGUGAGUAACACGUGGAUAACCUACCUAUAAGACUGGGAUAACUUCGGGAAACCGGAGCUAAUACCGGAUAAUAUAUUGAACCGCAUGGUUCAAUAGUGAAAGACGGUUUUGCUGUCACUUAUAGAUGGAUCCGCGCCGCAUUAGCUAGUUGGUAAGGUAACGGCUUACCAAGGCAACGAUGCAUAGCCGACCUGAGAGGGUGAUCGGCCACACUGGAACUGAGACACGGUCCAGACUCCUACGGGAGGCAGCAGUAGGGAAUCUUCCGCAAUGGGCGAAAGCCUGACGGAGCAACGCCGCGUGAGUGAUGAAGGUCUUCGGAUCGUAAAACUCCGUUAUUAGGGAAGAACAAAUGUGUAAGUAACUAUGCACGUCUUGACGGUACCUAAUCAGAAAGCCACGGCUAACUACGUG
rnacentral:rRNA from 1 species